rnacentral:rRNA from 1 species
AACGAACGCUGGCGGCAUGCCUAACACAUGCAAGUCGAACGAGAGCUUCGGAACUAGUGGCGCACAGGUGCGUAACGCGUGGGAACCUGCCCUUAGGCUCGGAAUAACUCUCCGUAAGGGGUGCUAAUACCGGAUAAUGUCUUCGGACCAAAGAUUUAUCGCCUUUGGAUGGGCCCGCGUUGGUUUAGCUUGUUGGUAGGGUAAGAGCCUACCAAGGCGACGCUCCAUAGCUGGUCUGAGAGGAUGAUCAGCCACACUGGGACUCAGACACGGCCCAGACUCCUACAGGAUGCAGCAGUGGGGAAUAUAGGACAAUGGGCGAAAGCCUGAUGCAGCAAGGCCGCGUGAGUGAUGAAGGUCUUAGGGUUGUAAAGCACUUUUACCCGGGAUGAUAAUGACAGUACCGAAAGAAUAAGCUCCGGCUAACUCCGUG